CUACGGGAGGCAGCAGUGGGGAAUAUUGGACAAUGGGGGGAACCCUGAUCCAGCCAUGCCGGGUGUGUGAAGAAGGCCUUUUGGUUGUAAAGCACUUUAAGCGAGGAGGAGGCUACUUAGAUUAAUACUCUGAGAGAGUGGACGUUACUCGCAGAAUAAGCACCGGCUAAUUCUGUGCCAGCAGCCGCGGUAAUACAGAGGGUGCAAGCGUUAAUCGGAUUUACUGGGGGUAAAGCGUGGGUAGGUGGCCAAUUAAGUCAAAUGUGAAAUCCCCGAGCUUAACUUGGGAAUUGCAUUCGAUACUGGUUGGCUAGAGUAUGGGAGAGGAUGGUAGAAUUCCAGGUGUAGCGGUGAAAUGCGUAGAGAUUUGGAGGAAUACCGAUGGCGAAGGCAGCCAUCUGGCCUAAUACUGACACUGAGGUACGAAAGCAUGGGGAGCAAACAGGAUUAGAUACCCUGGUAGUCCAUGCCGUAAACGAUGUCUACUAGCCGUUGGGGUCUUUGAGACUUUAGUGGCGCAGCUAACGCG
rnacentral:rRNA from 1 species